GUGAGGAAUAUUGGGCAAUGGGCGAAAGCCUGACCCAGCCACGCCGCGUGAGUGAUGAAGGCCUUCGGGCUGUAAAGCUCUGUGGGGAGGGAAGAAAAAGCGCAGGAGUAACUGCCUGUGUGUUGACGGUACCUCCUUAGCAAGCACCGGCUAACUCUGUGCCAGCAGCCGCGGUAAUACAGAGGGUGCAAACGUUGCUCGGAAUUACUGGGCGUAAAGCGCGUGUAGGCUGACAUGCAAGUCGGGUGUGAAAUCCCAGGGCUCAACCUUGGAACUGCACUCGAAACUGCACGUCUUGAGUACUGGAGAGGGAAGCGGAAUUCCGGGUGUAGAGGUGAAAUUCGUAGAUAUCCGGAGGAACACCAGUGGCGAAGGCGGCUUCCUGGACAGUAACUGACGCUGAGACGCGAAAGCGUGGGGAGCAAACAGGAUUAGAAACCCGGGUAGUCC
rnacentral:rRNA from 1 species